UUUCUAAUCUAUAAGGAGGUAGAAGGAGGAAAAGAGAAUUUCAGUCAGGGUCCCAAUAGAAAACAGAUCGUGUCCUCUAAACAGGAUGAUUUAUUUACAAGUAUUAGUGCAGUAACCUGGAGCAGGAGUGGUGAGGGAAGAGGAUAGGAUAUUAUUAUUAGAUCCUUAGGAUUGAGUGGGAAAGAAGGGUCCCUAGGAGCAGUAAGCCUAGUGUGGAGGAAGCCACCUCUAAGGAACAGUCCCCUUUAGGCUGGGGUCAGAACCAGCCUAAAGGAGCAGAGGGUAGGAGCCAGGAUAAGCAAACACCUUCAUUGCUCCAUUGCUCUGAUUUUUUGCCUGGCUUCAUCCCUCUUUCCCUAUGAACCCAGGAGCCCAGUCAGGAAGCUACCAUCUUGGGAAAUGGAUGAAACCAUCCAGGUCAGGCUAUCAGGAUAAGAACCUGGAAGAGAACAGAAGAGUCUGGAUCUAGAGAGGCAGACAGAAAAUGACCCAAGAGGGAACAGCAGAAUGCAAAUAAUGUCUUUUGUUAAGGAAAGGCUUGCUGCUUGACUUUAAGGCAGAGGGACAAUCAAUGUUGGAGAGAGAUGCGGAAUGCAUGGGGUUUGAAAAUGACCAUCCAUAUGACAAGACAAGAGCACUCAAGGAAGGAGAAUGCAGAAAACAGAGAAAAGGAAAGGACUACAGAAGGCUGGCUUUUCCUGCUCGGCACUGAUGGGCUGUUUAUCUUUGCCACCACAACUGUGGCAGCGGCAGAGGAAACAGCAAGCCAUUUUCUGCAAGGGCACAUGCCGAGAGGGCAGAAUUAAGACAAACACUUUCAUUCUUGGCUGCCAAAGCAUUUUAGCUUCUGAAAAGCAAGGGAAGCAACACCAUCGCCCUGUGAAGAAAUAAAUAAAUAAAGGCCCGGUGGCAAGAGAAGCUUCUGGGUGAUUUUCCACUUGUCAGAGGAAAAGGGCGAUGGGGCCAGUGAGGAUAGUGGUGAGAGGGAAGGGGGCGCUCAUUAUCUUCCAGCCCCUGGAAGCUUUUGUUCUCUUCAGCUGUGCUAAGGAGGCUGCAGCUCUGCUCCCAGCUGUGCAAAAUCUUGCAAGCGAUCUAAGAAGAAUGUCUGAGACCAGCAAUGUGACUCCAGCAGGCAUCACUCCAGGGAGAUGACAGCUGGGCAAGAAAGUAGAGCCCCCAGAUUCCCAGUUAGCAAUACUGAGCUAACAGGGCUCUCCAUGUUAAUACCUGCAUGGAUGCUUUUCUAGUACAGCUGCUGAAAGAGACUGCUGAGAGGUUUGCCUGAGGGCUGUUUGCAGUUUUUUCCCUUUUGUCCUGGCUCCAGACUGUCCAUAGCAGCUGCUGCACCUUGGAGAGCAUCAUGGGGGAGUUUAUAGUUGGAGAAAAAGGGAGGAUCUCAGAGUGGCUCAGUCCCAUCUACUGCUCAAUAUCACAAACACAUCUUGAAUGUGUUUGUUCUGUUGUGAAAAUCAAUGCUUCUUCAGAAUAGCUGGUGUUGGGACUUCAGUAAGAGAGCUUGAGGAAGUUUGCCUAAAGUAGGGCUUCUGGGCUGUCAGUAAGUCAGGCAGUCAGUCCACAGCUCUUUCUAGGUGGAAACUGAGAGGUAUUACAAAGGACCUACAUGAAAAACCUAACAGCUGGUUCUCUGUGGAGAAGGCUGGACUGCUUAGAAACAUACACCCCUUAGAGGUGGACUCUCACCUGCUACUACUGCAGUCUACCAGACCUGCUGCUACCUUUUUUGGGGUUUCAAGCAACUUUCCAUCUAAUAGACAACCUAACCCAGCUUGAAGAUUUUUGCAGAGGUUGGUCCAUAAAAUGCCAAAUCAAGCUACAUGGACCAUCUCAGGUUUAUUUGAGGACUAAGUAGCUUGCAUUCCACUCCUGGGGGCUGCCCCACUCUCCACUGCACCCAUAGAUUUACCACGGUAGAUUUAACUUCCUGGUUGAGGAAAACACCAGUUUCAGAGUAGCCCCAGAAGCCCUGCCUCCUCUCCCUCCCCAGUCCCCGUGGUCUCGCAGGGAGCUGCCUGUUUGAUUUAAUCUGGGGAGCUGGCACCUCUCCCAUUCCCUACUGUCAGGCUUGCACUGUUCAGCA
rnacentral:lncRNA from 1 species